rnacentral:lncRNA from 1 species
UGCACGGGCGGAUGCUCGGUUGGCUUGACCGAUGUAGGUUACUAAAUGCAUGAGCAGCUUUGGACCCGUGUCUGCUGGUACGUUGCGUUUCAGAAUAUAGUUGCCCCCAAAACUUUAUCGUUGCGGGGGUGACACACGCGCGAUGUGGUCUCUCUGGACGCCUCCUUCGAGUAAACCUCCCGUGCAUUGCACGGGCGGAUGCUCGGUUGGCUUGAACGAUGUAGGCUACUAAACACAUGGGCAGCUUUGGACCCGUGUCUGCUGGUAGAUCCCCCAUCGUUCGACGGUCGACUAUUGGCUCCGUGUCCUACCAAUCAGUUGGCAUUGUACCAUCGAUGGAUCAGGCAGUGUUUGCAUAUGAGUACCCGACAUACGGGAAGUGGGGCGUGAUAUAUAUGUUGCCACACGGCGGACGUCGUACGGGCGUUUUGCUGUGGCCGGAUAGCGCUUGUGGCGUUGCCUCGUAUCACGGGCAUGUAAUGUGCCUGUUGUUAUCAAGGCAACCUCGCUCGCGUCGUUGGUCUCGGAUGUUGCUCAUGAUAAAGGCUCAUGGCCCAUUUGGUUGCCUCGACCCGAC